rnacentral:ncRNA from 1 species
GAGAUGUUGGGUUAAGUCCCGCAGCGAGCGCAACCCUUGUCCCGUGUUGCCAGCAGGCCCUUGUGGUGCUGGGGACUCACGGGAGACCGCCGGGGUCAACUCGGAGGAAGGUGGGGACGACGUCAAGUCGUCAUGCCCCUUAUGUCUUGGGCUGCACACGUGCUACAAUGGCCGGUACAAUGAGCUGCGAUACCGCGAGGUGGAGCGAAUCUCAAAAAGCCGGUCUCAGUUCGGAUUGGGUCUGCAACUCGACCCAUGAAGUCGGAGUCGCUAGUAAUCGCAGAUCAGCAUUGC